rnacentral:rRNA from 1 species
GAUGAACGCUGGCGGCGUGCCUAAUACAUGCCAGUCGAGCGAACGGACGAGAAGCUUGCUUCUCUGAUGUUAGCGGCGGACGGGUGAGUAACACGUGGAUAACCUACCUAUAAGACUGGGAUAACUUCGGGAAACCGUAGCUAAUACCGGAUAAUAUUUUGAACCGCAUGGUUCAAAAGUGAGAGACGGUCUUGCUGUCACUUAUAGAUGGAUCCGCGCUGCAUUAGCUAGUUGGUAAGGUAACGGCUUACCAAGGCAACGAUGCAUAGCCGACCUGAGAGGGUGAUCGGCCACACUGGAACUGAGACACGGUCCAGACUCCUACGGGAGGCAGCAGUAGGGAAUCUUCCGCAAUGGGCGAAAGCCUGACGGAGCAACGCCGCGUGAGUGAUGAAGGUCUUCGGAUCGUAAAACUCUGUUAUUAGGGAAGAACAUAUGUGUAAGUAACUGUGCACAUCUUGACGGUACCUAAUCAGAAAGCCACGGCUAACUACGUG